AUACCUUUUUCCGCCUUUUGGCUAAGAUCAAGUGUAGUAUCUUUUUUUAUCAGUUUAAUAUUUGAUACGUGAUUCAUAGAAGCACAUGAUUGGUUUUUUGUGUGCUUCACCAUGC
rnacentral:snRNA from 1 species